rnacentral:ncRNA from 1 species
AGGGUGAGCUAACUCCAAAAACCCGUCCUCAGUUCGGAUUGCAGGCUGCAACUCGCCUGCAUGAAGCCGGAAUGCUAGUAAUCGCCGGUCAGCUAUACGACGGUGAAUUCAUUCCCGGGCCUUGUACACACCGCCCGUCAUUAUUAAAUAUUUCAAACAAAUCUUGAAAUUCGAAACUUCCCGUUAUCCAAUAAAAACCUAA